AUGGUCAUGCUAAUUGGCGUCAACUUCCCAAAGUUGCAGCUAGCAACCAGUAGCUUUGGCAAUAACCGCGAUGAAAUUAUUGUGAUGACAUCAAUCUUGAUGAUAAAAAUGAAAUGUGGCAGUUCCGAGUGGUUUGUGCAACUAUUUAGAACGGAGUUCCGCUUGCUAUAUGUUCUUAUCUUGAUCGUAUCUGCUUGGCAUGUCCUAGAAAUACAGUAA